AUGUCGCUCGUCACAGCUUUUCUGGCGGGCUCAGCGGCGCCGGCGGUCGCGCCACGGUCCGCCCGCCCGUCGGUGGGCUUCUUUGGGGUCGGCGGAGGGUGCGCGCUGUCGGUGGAGUGCUCGUCGCGGCCGCAGAAGAAAGGGACCAAGCACCAUAUGAAGACGCGGCCCAAGAAGACGCAGCGGUGGGACAUCAAGCGCCGCCCCGUUCAGUACGAGCCGCUGCCGGCGCUUCCCGAUGACUGGACGCUCGUAGCCGCCGGUGCGAAGGAAGAUGAGGUGCCGCAGGAUGAGGAGACCACGCCCGCCGCCGCCGUUGAGGUCGAGGUGGUCGCCGCCCCUGCCGCCGCAGACUGA
rnacentral:rRNA from 1 species